rnacentral:lncRNA from 1 species
UAUAGAGAGAGAAAGUAUAGAGAGAAUAAGAGAGAAAAAAGAAGAGUAUUCUGUUACUACACUAUUGCAGUAUCCAAUCUCCUACUAAGGUAAGUGGUAUUAUUUCUUUCGUAUUCAUGAAGAGAGUUAUUUUCUUUCAAUACUCGUAAGGGUUGUUAUUCCAUUCUUUAUUAUUCUGUUGGAAUAACCUGUCUGUGCGGUCUAUCGCAUGCCUGGUGAAUUCUGUUGUUAUUCCAUUCUUUAUUAUUCUAUUAGAAUAUCCUGUCUGUGCGGAUUACGCAUGACCUGGUUCCAUUCUUUAUUAUUCUGUUGGAAUAUCCUGUUUGUGCGGGUUACGCAUAACCUGGUCCCAUUCUUUAUUAUUCUGUUGGAAUAACCUGUCUGUGCGGAUUACGCACGCCUGAUGAAUUCUUCUGUUAUUCCAUUCUUUAUUAUUCUGUUGGAAAUAAUCUGUCUACGUGGAUUACCGCAUGGCGGGCGAAAAUCUAUUUGCGGCUUCAUAUAUUCUAUUAUACUCAGUUGGUUAAAGUUUUAGCUUUUAUACUCCAUGAAACUAGUGGAAUAUCCUUGAUAUUUGCGCUUCAUCUGGUAUCUUUUCAUGGAAAUAUUCUUCACAAAAUAGUAUCAUGUUGACAAUUUGGACGUUAUUGAUUUCUGGAUAAAUUAAAUUAUAAAUCUUUAAAAAUCUAUCAUUGAACUUGUUUUAUUGAAUUCUUAUAUCAUUGUCAUCAUCAUCCUCAUGUUUAUAUUAUGUUGAAAGUCAUCUGUGGCCUGUAGUGCAUAGAUGGACUUGGUAUGAUUAUGACCAGGGAUUAUUCGGUAUAAUCAUGACCGUAAUGUUACAAAUAUUGCGAUAAAAGUCAUUAUUGGCCCGUAGUGCAUUGAUGGACAGUUGUUGGUAUGAUCAUGACCAUUGAUAAAAACACGAAUAUCCUUGGCCCGUAGUGCAUGGAUAAUUUGUGGUCAUGAUACUAAUGAAUAUCCUUGGCCGUAGUGCAGGGAUGAUAUGGAUUAUUUAUUAAGCUGAGUCUCAGCGAUAAAAGUGAUGAAAAAUAUUUUAAAUCAUAGAAGAUAGUAGAUUUUAUUCUCUACUUGACUCUUCUAAUGGAUUGCUUGUUCCGCUGCAGUUAAACUUGAUGUUUGUUAUAUUUUAUCAGUUUAACAUUGUUGAAGGCUAACGAUAAAUUAUUCUGCAUUAUCUUAAUCAUAAUAUUUCUUACUGGGCUAGUUGAGCUCACCCUUUUACUUUCAUUGUUCUCUUCAGGAAAUGAGAACGUAGCAGGGACUAGUCGGAGGAAACAAAGUGAUGGUCCUAGAUGGUGCAUUAGUAGUCCUCACUAUUCUGUGAAAUAGUGUGGUAAUAAAUGUAAUAAGGACCCCAUAGAGUUUGUAUAUUAUCUACACUACUACAAAACAGUAAAUAGACAACGCGAAAAAAACGUUAUGAUUUCAGUCAGAAAAACGUCGUGGUUAAGGGUGUUAUCUAUUUGACACCCUUACACAACGUUUUUAAAACGUUGUAGUUAAGCACGUUACACAACGUUUUUAAGUAAAAAAUAUUGUAAAUUUGUUAUCCAAAAAUUAACAGAUGCUUAAAAGCGUUGUAGAAAGUAUAAUUCCACAACGUUUUCUGAAUAAAAAUGUUACAGUUUAAUAUAUCAAACAACGUUUAAGCAUAUUUACACAACGUUUUUAAAAUGUU